rnacentral:lncRNA from 1 species
AAAUGGAGACCACACUCGGAUUCAAGAAUACAAUGCAAGAAUGACAAUAUAUCUAGGUGUUUGACACCUUUUUGCAGCCAACCCAAACUAAGUUAACAACAAUAAGAUGAUGAACACAAGAUGAACAACAAUAUUAUAAGAACAACAAACACACGGCUACAAGAACACAAGAACAACACUACACGAUUGCAAUAAAACAAAGGGGAUAGAUAGUUAGACAAGUGAUGGUAUAAUCUUAAGAACCCAAGAAUUUGGUGGACUCUUUGACCCUUA